rnacentral:lncRNA from 1 species
GGAUGACUGGAAACCAUACAAGCUUAGAAGACUAUACUUUAUUUGGGCAUGCAGAGAUAUCCAGUCCUUCCAUUGGUUUGCAGACUUACUCUGUAUGUUGCAUAACAAGUUUUGGCAAGAGAACAGACCUGACUAUGUCAACAUCCAGCUGUACCUCAGUCAAACAGAUGGGAUACAGAAGAUAAUUGGAGAAAAAUAUCAUGCACUGAAUUCAAGACUGUUUCUUGGACGUCCUCGGUGGAAACUUUUGUUUGAUGAAAUAGCAAAAUAUAACAGAGGGAAAACAGUUGGUGUUUUCUGUUGUGGACCCAAUUCACUAUCUAAGACUCUUCAUAAACUGAGAAACCAGAACAACUCAUAUGGGACGAGAUUUGAAUACAAUAAAGAGUCUUUCAGCUGAAAACUUUUGCCAUGAAGCAGGACUCUAAAGAAGGAAUGAGUGCAAUUUCUAAGACUUUGGAACUCAGCGGAAUCAGACAGCUGUGUUAUGCCAAAGAAUAGUAAGGUUUUCUAAUUUAUGAUUAUUUAAAAUGGAAAUGUGAGAAUCUGGCAAGAUGACCGGUCACAUUACAUGUUUA